rnacentral:rRNA from 1 species
GACGAACCGAGCGAACGUUGUUCGGAAUCACUGGGCUUAAAGGGCGCGUAGGCGGGCUGUCAAGUCUGGGGUGAAAUCCCGCGGCUCAACCGUGGAACUGCCUUAGAUACUGACGGCCUCGAGGGAGGUAGGGGCGAGCGGAACUCUCAGUGGAGCGGUGAAAUGCGUUGAUAUUGGGAGGAACUCCGGUGGCGAAAGCGGCUCGCUGGGGCCUCUUCUGACGCUGAUGCGCGAAAGCGAGGGAGCAAACGGG